AAGGUCUGUAAACACGGAUUGGAGCGAUAGAGCGGUCAAGACUAGAGAGACGUAGGUGGUUAGACACAUGUUCUUCCCGAAUGAAGAAGAAUCUCCAAAAAAGACCGGUCCGGAAAGAAAAUCUAUGAAGCUAUUCCAAUUCCCAUCACUGAAUCCAUGAACAUGGUGGAGGGCUGAGAAGUCAAGCGUGACCGGCAGAAGGACAUGGAGAUCCGGUGCCUAUCGACUAGCCACAACUGGUGAGCGUCGAAGAAGAGAAGAUGUUGUGAUGAAAUUCGAGAUUGUCAGCGAUAAUCGAGAGACUAGGUCAAGUAGUGGAAACGCAGAGAAAGGGGGAG
ensembl:ncRNA F12F6.15 ncRNA